rnacentral:rRNA from 1 species
UACGGGGGGGGCAAGCGUUAUUCGGAAUUAUUGGGCGUAAAGGGCGCGUAGGCGGCUUUUCAAGUGACGGGUGAAAUCCCUCGGCUUAACCGAGGAACUGCCUGUCAGACUGGAAGGCUUGAGACCGGGAGAGGUGAGUGGAAUUCCCAGUGUAGCGGUGAAAUGCGUAGAUAUUGGGAGGAACACCAGUGGCGAAGGCGGCUCACUGGACCGGAACUGACGCUGAGGCACGAAAGCGUGGGGAGCAAACAGG